GUUGCCGUAGCCAAGAGGCGAGGCGCCGGACUGCAAAUCCGGUAACGCUGGUUCGAAUCCAGCCGGCAACUCCA
rnacentral:tRNA from 1 species